rnacentral:lncRNA from 1 species
AUGGAAUUAAAAAAAAAAAAAAUUAUCAUCAUGGAUUGUUAAUUAAGACGAUAUCACUUCCACAAGCUAAGAACUACACAAACAAAGUUGUUCACUAAUUCAUUUUUAAAGGACAAGGCACAGAGGCAAUUCCACAAGCUUAAGAACUACACAACAAAGUUGUUCACUAAUUCAUUGUCAAAGGAUAAGGCACAGAGGCAAUAUGGUUAUGAGCCACUGUUCCAAUCCAAAGCUUCCCUUGAACCUCCCUCACUUCACUCACAAGCCUCAUUACCUUUCCUUGUCUAUCCUCAAGAACCUCCAACACCUCAC